rnacentral:rRNA from 1 species
AGAGUUUGAUCCUGGCUCAGGACGAACGCUGGCGGCGUGCUUAACACAUGCAAGUCUACGAGAAAGUGUCUUUCGGGAUACGAGUAAAGUGGCGCACGGGUGAGUAACACGUAAGCAAUCUACCCUUAGGCCUAGGAUAACCCCGAGAAAUCGGGGCUAAUACUGGAUGAUGCAGCGGCACCGCAUGGUGAUGUUGUUAAAGUCUAUAUGGCGUCUAAGGAUGAACUUGCGUCUGAUUAGCUUGUUGGUGAGGUAACGGCUUACCAAGGCUACGAUCAGUAGCUGGUCUGAGAGGAUGAUCAGCCACACUGGAACUGAGACACGGUCCAGACUCCUACGGGAGGCAGCAGUGAGGAAUAUUGGGCAAUGGGCGAAAGCCUGACCCAGCAACGCCGCGUGGAGGAUGAAUGUCGUAAGAUUGUAAACUCCUGUUAGAGGGGAAGAAUAAUCCCGAUCGACUCGGGACUUGACUGUACCCUCAGAGAAAGCUCCGGCUAACUACGUGCCAGCAGCCGCGGUAAUACGUAGGGAGCGAGCGUUGUCCGGAUUUACUGGGUGUAAAGGGCGCGCAGGCGGAUCAGUAAGUCAGAGGUGAAAUCCUACAGCUCAACUGUAGAACUGCCUUUGAUACUGCUUAUCUUGAGUAUGGAAGAGAGAGACGGAAUUCCAGGUGUAGUGGUGAAAUACGUAGAUAUCUGG